rnacentral:rRNA from 1 species
UACAGAGGUCUCAAGCGUUAUUCGGAAUUAUUGGGCGUAAAGGGCGCGUAGGCGGCCUGGCAAGUGGAAGGUGAAAUCCCUCGGCUUAACCGAGGAACUGCCCUCCAAACUGCUUGGCUUGAGUCCGGGAGAGGUGAGUGGAAUUCCCAGUGUAGCGGUGAAAUGCGUAGAUAUUGGGAGGAACACCAGUGGCGAAGGCGGCUCACUGGACCGGAACUGACGCUGAGGCGCGAAAGCGUGGGGAGCAAACGGG